AUACUUACCUGGCAAGAGAGAAACCAUGAUCGCGAAGGAGGUUUUCCCAGGGCGAGGCUUAUCCACUGCACUCCGGAUAUGCUGACCUCUUCGAUUUCCCCAAAUGUGGGAAACAUGACUGCAUACUUUGUGGUAGUGGGGGACUGCAUGCAUGCUUAAA